rnacentral:misc_RNA from 1 species
AAGUCGUAACAAGGUCUCCGUUGGUGAACCAGCGGAGGGAUCAUUAAAAGAGACUAUCUCGCAAACCCAUGUGAAUUUACUUUGUUGCUUCGGCGGACCUACCCUGUAGCUACCCUGUAUCCUACCCUGAAGCAAUUCGGGCAGGUUACCCUGUAGCUACCCUGUAGCGCCGCCGGUGGCCAAAACCAAACUCUUGUUAUUUUUGGACAUCUGAGCGUCUUAUUUAAUAAGUCAAAACUUUCAACAACGGAUCUCUUGGUUCUG